rnacentral:rRNA from 1 species
GACAGAGGGUGCAAACGUUGCUCGGAAUUACUGGGCGUAAAGGGCUCGUAGGCGGCCAACUAAGUCAGACGUGAAAUCCCUCGGCUUAACCGGGGAACUGCGUCUGAUACUGGAUGGCUUGAGGUUGGGAGAGGGAUGCGGAAUUCCAGGUGUAGCGGUGAAAUGCGUAGAUAUCUGGAGGAACACCGGUGGCGAAGGCGGCAUCCUGGACCAAUUCUGACGCUGAGUGAGCGAAAGCCAGGGGAGCAAACGGG